rnacentral:rRNA from 1 species
UUCCAGACUCCUACGGGAGGCAGCAGUCGAGAAUCAUUCACAAUGGGGGAAACCCUGAUGGAGCGACGCCGCGUGGGGGAAUGAAGGCCUUCGGAUUGUAAACCCCUGUCAUGUGGGAGCAAAUUAAAAAGAUAGUACCACAAGAGGAAGAGACGGCUAACUCUGUGCCAGCAGCCGCGGUAAUACAGCGGCCUCAAGCGUUGUUCGGAAUCACUGGGCGUAAAGCGUGCGUAGGCUGUUUCGUAAGUCGUGUGGGGAAGGCGCGGGCUCAACCCGCGGAGGGCACAUGAUACUGCGAGACUUGAGUAAUGGAGGGGGAACCGGAAUUCGCGGUGUAGCAGUGAAAUGCGUAGAUAUCGAGAGGAACACUCGUGGCGAAGGCGGGUUCCUGGAGAUUAACUGACGCUGAGGCACGAAGGCCAGGGGAGCGAACGGGAUUAGAUACCCGAGUAAG